GCGGGAGUAGCUCAGUGGUAGAGCACAACCUUGCCAAGGUUGGGGCCGCGGGUUCGAUCCCCGUCUCCCGCUCCA
rnacentral:tRNA from 12 species